GAUGCAAGAUUUCGUACGAUAGCAGGACUCAUUCAGAUCUUGUCAGUGAUUGAGAAUGUACUUUUUGUACACAAAUUAAAUUCAAAUUUUAUUAAUUUAAAUAAAUUUGAUAAAUCUAUAUUUAAAUAUUAAAAAUUUAAAAAAGAGAGAAUGGCAUGUGGUGACGGCUCCAUCACCAUCGCCAUCGUUAAUACUCACCAAGCAAGGAAGAACAGAGCUCAGUCCGACUGGGGUGCGGGUCUGGUGGUGCGGCACUCUGACGAUGCGGCUGGGGAAGAAGGGGGGAGGAAUGGCAUGGGUCUGGCGGUGCGGCACUCCAAUGGUGUGGCUAGGAAAGAAGGGAGGAGGCAGUGGAAGAAAGGGGAGGCAAGGCACGACCGAUCUGACGAGGGGAAGGCCAAUCCAAUGAGGCACGAUGGUGUGGAAAGAAGAGGAAAGGCCAGAAAAAAGGGGGGAGGCUAAGGCAGUGGGACGUCGGCUCUGGGAGGCUACCAACAGUGCCUGGGAAGAAGGGAGCUCAGGGAUGAGGGCUCAAGAACAGUCGAUCUGGCAUGGGGACGUCGGACCCAAAGCGAGGAUAGUGGCACGUGAGCUGGGGGGAGGAGGUUGGGGUCUCCAGUGAUGUGACAGAGAAGAAGAGAGACCAAAGGUGGGAGAAAAAAGGGGAGGUGACGGCCAAUAGAAUCGAGCCCGUCGAAAAUCUGGGAGAGGAAUUUUAGCGCAGAGUAUUAAAGAUAGCUAAAUUACAU
rnacentral:lncRNA from 1 species